CAGUAGCCGCGGGAAUACAGAGGGUGCGAGCGUUAAUCGGAUUUACUGGGCGUAAAGCGUGUGUAGGCGGCUUCUUAAGUCGGAUGUGAAAUCCCUGAGCUUAACUUAGGAAUUGCAUUCGAUACUGGGAAGCUAGAGUAUGGGAGAGGAUGGUAGAAUUCCAGGUGUAGCGGUGAAAUGCGUAGAGAUCUGGAGGAAUACCGAUGGCGAAGGCAGCCAUCUGGCCUAAUACUGACGCUGAGGUACGAAAGCAUGGGGAGCAAACAGGAUUAGAGACCCGAGUAGUCCCUGUCUCUUAUAC
rnacentral:rRNA from 1 species